rnacentral:tRNA from 1 species
GCCCUGUUAGUUCAACGGAUAGAACGGAAGUUUCCUAAACUUUAAAUAGCAGUUCGAUUCUGCUACGGGGUA